GAACGGGUGAGUAACGCGUGAGUAACCUGCCCUAGAGUGGGGGACAACAGUUGGAAACGACUGCUAAUACCGCAUAAGCCCACGGUACCGCAUGGCACUGAGGGAAAAGGAUUUAUUCGCUUUAGGAUGGACUCGCGUCCAAUUAGCUAGUUGGUGAGGUAACGGCCCACCAAGGCGACGAUUGGUAGCCGGACUGAGAGGUUGAACGGCCACAUUGGGACUGAGACACGGCCCAGACUCCUACGGGAGGCAGCAGUGGGGGAUAUUGCACAAUGGGGGAAACCCUGAUGCAGCGACGCCGCGUGGAGGAAGAAGGUUUUCGGAUUGUAAACUCCUGUCGUUAGGGACGAUAAUGACGGUACCUAACAAGAAAGCACCGGCUAACUACGUGCCAGCAGCCGCGGUAAAACGUA
rnacentral:rRNA from 1 species